AGUGAACGCUGGCGGUAGGCCUAACACGUGCAAGUCGAACGGCAGCACAGUAAGAGCUUGCUCUUACGGGUGGCGAGUGGCGGACGGGUGAGGAAUACAUCGGAAUCUACUUUUUCGUGGGGGAUAACGUAGGGAAACUUACGCUAAUACCGCAUACGACCUACGGGUGAAAGCAGGGGAUCUUCGGACCUUGCGCGAUUGAAUGAGCCGAUGUCGGAUUAGCUAGUUGGCGGGGUAAAGGCCCACCAAGGCGACGAUCCGUAGCUGGUCUGAGAGGAUGAUCAGCCACACUGGAACUGAGACACGGUCCAGGCUCCUACGGGAGGCAGCAGUGGGGAAUAUUGGACAAUGGGCGCAAGCCUGAUCCAGCCAUACCGCGUGGGUGAAGAAGGCCUUCGGGUUGUAAAGCCCUUUUGUUGGGAAAGAAAAGCAGCAGGUUAAUACCCCGCUGUUCUGACGGUACCCAAAGAAUAAGCACCGGCUAACCUCGUG
rnacentral:rRNA from 1 species